ACGAACGCUGGCGGCGUGCUUAACACAUGCAAGUCGAACGGUGAAGCGCCUUCCUUUUUGGUGGGUGUGGAUGAGUGGCGAACGGGUGAGUAACACGUGAGUAACCUGCCCCCUUCUUCUGGAUAACCGCAUGAAAGUGUGGCUAAUACGGGAUAUUCUGGGUCUGUCGCAUGAUGGGUCUGGGAAAGAUAUUGUUUCGGUGGGGGAUGGGCUCGCGGCCUAUCAGCUUGUUGGUGGGGUGAUGGCCUACCAAGGCGGUGACGGGUAGCCGGCCUGAGAGGGUGGACGGUCACACUGGGACUGAGACACGGCCCAGACUCCUACGGGAGGCAGCAGUGGGGAAUAUUGCACAAUGGGCGAAAGCCUGAUGCAGCGACGCCGCGUGAGGGAUGGAGGCCUUCGGGUUGUGAACCUCUUUCGCCAGUGAAGCAGGCUUGCCUCGUUUGUGGGUGGGUUGACGGUAGCUGGAUAAGAAGCGCCGGCUAACUACGUG
rnacentral:rRNA from 1 species